AUCCGGCUGACGAGUCUCAAAUAGGACGAAACACACGUCCUGAAU
rnacentral:hammerhead_ribozyme from 1 species